rnacentral:lncRNA from 1 species
GAGCCGGGCGCGGGGCGCAAGAGCGGAGCUGCGCGAGCCGCUGCGGAGGGAAGGGCUCCUAGCCAAUUGGGGUCUUUGAGGCGAAUGCGAGGCUGGGGCCGGUUGCCUACCGGCCGCUUCUCGCCGAGGCAGUCCAGACUUUUCCCCCGGCGGUGCCCGCUCCAAGACAGCAUCUGUCAACGCUCCUCUUCUCCCCUCCUCCUCCUGCCGGGCCGGGCUCCGCCGGCUGCGGCCGAGAGGACGCGGGACCCGGCGCGGUGAGCCCAUCAGCUGUCAGGCGAGCGGCGAAGCGGCUGGAGGGCGGCGAGAGACACACAAAGAACGCGGUGGGCGGCGGCGGCGAAAGGGGACGGCAACUCCUCCCCGCGCCCGCCGGUGCCACCGCCGGCCGUGCUUGUUCCGAGGCCGCGCAGACAAUGCGGCCGGGCUCGUCCCCGCGUGCCCCAGAGUGCGGAGCGCCCGCGCUCCCCCGACCCCAACUUGACCGUCUCCCGGCUCGCCCAGCCCCCUCCCGGGGUAGGGGCGCCCCCUCCCUCCGGUGGCCGGCGAAGGAAGUCGGUCCGCGGCCGCAGAUCCCGGCAACUUGCGAACCGGGAAAAGUUUGCGGCGCCUCCGCGGGGCGGCGCGACGCGGCCCGCCCCUCGCGUCCGCGGUCAUCGCGGGUGACUUUCUCGACUCGUCGUCAGCCGGGGCCGCAGCGCGGCCGGUGGGGACUGCGGGGCGGGCCGGAGUCCGUCCGAGGGCUCCCGCACCUCGGGCUGCGGGAACAUUAAAAUCUCCCCAGAUGCUCACUGCUCUGAUCAUUUCCCCUACAGCACCAGACAUGUUGGCAUCAUCUCUUAGUUGGGCCAUGUGGCCAGGGAACCCUUCAUGAAACCACCUCUGCAGUCCUGGAGAGUUGCUGUAGAAGAAGGAAAAGAGAGGAAGACAACACAACACAGGAGGGGAUAAGUACCUCUGGACACAAUGGAAGUAGUAGUUGUUGAGCAGAGGGAAAGGGAUAGGAGAAGGAUGUGGACUGCAGUGCUGCAGUGCCAGACCAUUUUUUGUAAGGAAUCAUUUUAUCAACUAGGAUGACAAGAGGCCUCUCCCAUCCUGGUUGCACAUCACUUUCUAUAACAGAGAGACAUGGGCCAGAAGCCCUGAUGGAGAAAGCAGCCAAUGUCCCUUACAUUUCCACCUUUGGCUUGAAAAAAAGAUCUGUGCACUAAAUACAGGGAAAAAAAAAUGAAGUUAGGCUGGAAGAAGAAAGACAUUGUUACAUGGUAAAAUUGGAAAGAUUCAUACCAACAGUACGGGAUAAAGCAGGGGUCCCCAGCCCCUGGGCCACGGAACUGGACUGGUCCAGGGCCUGUUAGGAACUGGACUGCCCAGCAGGAGGUGAGUGGUAGGAAAUGAGCAUCACAGCCUGAGCUCCGCCUCCUGUCAGAUCAGUGGUGGCAUUACAUUCUCAUAGGAGUGCCAACCCUAUUGUGAACUGCACAUGUGAGGGAUCUAGGUUGCCCGCUCCUUAAGAGAAUGUAACUAAUGCUUGAUGAUCUGAGGUGGAAUAGUUUCAUCCUGAAACCAUACCCCCACUAAGCCCCCGCAUCCAUGAAAAAAUUGUUUUCCAUGAAACUGGUCCCUGCUGCCAAAAAGGCUGGGGACCGGUGGUAUAAAGUACGUCUGAGAAUGUAUACUUACUGAGAAUGUACCUUUAUACCCUGUAAGAUACCAUAGUGUUUUAUCAUUUUAUAAAAGCUGAGGCUCAGAGAGGGUUCUAAGAGUACUCAAGGUCACAAAGUUAAUCAACUGUCUAGGGAAGCUAGAAUUUCAAGUGAACCCUAUCUCUAAUUUGGCUCAAGAAAGAAUUUAAAUUUAAAUGACCAGAUGUAAUUUUCAAAUUUGUAUACAUGUUACAUGAGUACAUUCUCCUUUUAAAAUAUUGCCAAUAAGGUUGAAAUCAUCUUUGAUACCCAAGUUCUAGUCCCAUCCCCUCCUCUUUUCUCCAGUGGUGACUCACACUAUCGUUUCCAGAUAUCCCUCCCUGUCACACACGCGUGCACAUAUACUGUGUUAAAUACAGAGAUGGGUGGUCGCUUACCUGUGUGUUUGAUACAUAAUAGUAUUUGGUCAAAGUAACUUUUAUACUGGUAAAACCUCUUCAUUGGAACAAUAAUGCCUCAUCAAAAUCUGAACUCAUACCACUAAGUAUUAUUAUAAUAAUUUGGUAUUCUAUAGCAGUAACAGUUAUUUCCAAAGACAUUCCAAUAUGCCUGUAGUAAAUAUUCUAGAUUUAAUUAAAAUAUUGGCAGGACUACCGUUUUCCAGAUUAAAUUAAAAAGCAAUUAUUAGCAUUGCAGAUUAAGUUUUUAAAUGAAUAUUUCAAUUCAGCGACACUGGCUAGAAUAUCUUCUGUUUUGUCACAGUGUCACAGAUCCCAUCACCAUCACUGUAAACUAAAAUUAGCUAACUUUUAAACAUAAGACCCACAAUUAUUUAUUAUAGCCCAAAAUAUCAGAAUGUUCUUUAGCUUAUAACCUUGCUCAUAGAAUAUACUGGGGAAAGGACUCCAAAAAUUGUCUAUAAGAAAAUCUUGGUUUUUUUUUUUUAAAUCACUUUCAUUGGAAAUCCAACUGUAAACUCAUAUUGUUAAAAAAGUUCCCAUAAUGUUAAUUUUUUUGGAAAUUUGCACACUUAAAAGGAAACUAAUAUUGAUAGGCA